AUUAUUCAUUGCUUCCCCGUCAGGCCGUAUUUGUUCAUCCUUUCCGCAACUGACGCUUUGCAAUUGGCAAGCAAUUUUAAACCAUAUUCCCUGGACAAUAAGAUUCAAAACUAAUAACCUGCAACUGUAAGAAUUGUAUACCUUAUUUCAAAGCAUUAAGGUGUCAUUUAAAUUGGUUUCGUGGAAAAACACGCCACUGUGUAAUGUGGUUGACAUUAACGAGUUAAUGUUAUAUUAUUAUGUAAAGCGGACUCUUUUUGUCUACACACAAGAUAUGGACGUGAUUAGUAGGGUUCAGAACCGGGAAAUCCCGGUCUCGAAAGUACCGGGAAUUCCCGGUUCUUUUGUCAGUAAAAUGGAACCGGGAAACCAAAUUUGAUUCCCGGUUCUUUCGGUACUUUCGGGAAUUUUAUUUUUAUUAAGCGAUUCACACUACUAUUUACUUAUAUACUCUUACUUUAAUUUUCCACACUUUCUACUAUUCAAACAUUCAAAACUAACGUGAAUAAUUCAGCGUUAAAAUAAAUAACGCGCGAAAUUAAUGGUGCGCUCGAUAUUACCAAUAACUACCUACACUCGCUCGCUGUUGCUAGGAAGGAAAGUAAGUAUAUAGUAAGUCAAGAAUAGGUAGGUACUCGGAAAGAGAUAUUAUUUUUAAAUAUUUUUUGGUAAAAAAGUUUAAUUUUGUUUUCUUUGAAAAAUGUUUAAGAUAUUUAUAAAUAUUUAAGGAAUCUCAGGUGACUGGCUAAUUUUUACCAUUUUAUUGACAGUUAACACUUACUUAAGAACCUAACAAAAACACUGUGAUUGAUUAUAGUCUGAUUUAUAUAUAAUAACUUACUACUAGGUAUGAGAAUAGAAAAUAGUUUAAUUUUGUUGCUUUUGAAAAAUGUUUAAGAUAAUUCUAAAUGUUUAAGGAAUUUAAAAUGACUACCUAAUUUUGACCAUUUUAUUGACAGUAAAUAUUUAAGAUCCUAAGAAUAACACUGUGAUUGACAAUAGUCUGAUUUAUAUAUAAUUACUUACUACUAGGUAUGAGAAUAGAAAAUAGUUUAAUUUUGUUUUCUUUAAAAAUGUUUAAGAUAAUUCUAAAUGUUAAGGAAUCUAAGAUGAUUGCCUUAUUUUUACCCUUUAAUUGACAGUAAAUACUUACUUUAUUACCUAACAAUAACAUAACACUAUGAUUAAUUAUAGUCUGAUUUAUAUAUAAUUACCUACUACUAGGUAUGAGAACAGAAAAUAGAAGAAAAAAUUUCGAAUUAAAGUUACUUGAAUACAGAA